UUUUGACAGCGGGUAGAAGUGGUUCGUAAGCAUGCAGCGCGUCGUUGGCCUGCGCUAUAAUCUUGGCUGACAAACAAUUAACUGGCGAAAAUACUUAUGCUCUCGCUGCUUAAUCGAAGAACAGUAGAUUUUAAGCUUCAUUCGGGUUCAAGGAACCUGAACGAGACGUCUCCCGGAGCUCUGGCUUCGAAGCUGACCGAUAAGGGGGCGCAGGAAUAUCGAAGAUAGCCUUCGGCAGGUUUCGGGCCGCAGGCGAAAUUAAGAAAAUAAGUUCCGUAUUGGUUGCCCUGUUCUUGUGCGGAAUCGAAAACCUCAAUGGGGAUAAGCAUGUAGAAAGCGCAUUAGUUCCUCGUUUGGACGAGGGUUCGAAUCCCUCCAGCUCCACAA
rnacentral:tmRNA from 1 species